GAGUGAGUGGCGAACUGGUGAGUAACACGUGGGAAACCUGCCCAGAAGCGGGGGAUAACACCUGGAAACAGAUGCUAAUACCGCAUAACAACUUGGACCGCAUGGUCCGAGUUUGAAAGAUGGCUUUGGCUAUCACUUUUGGAUGGUCCCGCGGCGUAUUAGCUAGAUGGUGGGGUAACGGCUCACCAUGGCAAUGAUACGUAGCCGACCUGAGAGGGUAAUCGGCCACAUUGGGACUGAGACACGGCCCAAACUCCUACGGGAGGCAGCAGUAGGGAAUCUUCCACAAUGGACGAAAGUCUGAUGGAGCAACGCCGCGUGAGUGAAGAAGGGUUUCGGCUCGUAAAACUCUGUUGUUAAAGAAGAACAUAUCUGAGAGUAACUGUUCAGGUAUUGACGGUAUUUAACCAGAAAGCCACGGCUAACUACGUGCCAGCAGCCGCGGUAAUACGUAGGUGGCAAGCGUUGUCCGGAUUUAUUGGGCGUAAAGCGAGCGCAGGCGGUUUUUUAAGUCUGAUGUGAAAGCCUUCGGCUCAACCGAAGAAGUGCAUCGGAAACUGGGAAACUUGAGUGCAGAAGAGGACAGUGGAACUCCAUGUGUAGCGGUGAAAUGCGUAGAUAUAUGGAAGAACACCAGUGGCGAAAGCGGCUGUCUGGUCUGUAACUGACGCUGAGGCUCGAAAGUAUGGGUAGCAACAGGAUUAGAUACCCUGGUAGUCCAUACCGUAACGAUGAAUGCUAGUGUGAGGGUUUCGCCCUCAGUGCUGCAGCUACGCAUAGCAUCCGCUUGGGAGUACGCGCAGCUGAACU
rnacentral:rRNA from 2 species